UACAGAGGUGGCAAGCGUUGUUCGGAAUUACUGGGCGUAAAGGGCGCGUAGGCGGCCUUCUAAGUCAGACGUGAAAUCCCCCGGCUUAACCUGGGAACUGCGUCUGAUACUGGAAGGCUUGAGUGCGGGAGAGGGAUGUGGAAUUCCAGGUGUAGCGGUGAAAUGCGUAGAUAUCAAGAGGAACACCUGAGGCGAAGGCGGGUUGCUAGGCUGACACUGACGCUGAGUGCGCGAAAGCCAGGGGAGCAAACGGG
rnacentral:rRNA from 1 species